AUUGAACGCUGGCGGCAGGCCUAACACAUGCAAGUCGAGCGAGUGGCGUACGGGUGAGUAGUGUCUGGGGAUCUGCCCGAUAGAGGGGGCAAACUACUGGAAACGGUGGCUAAUACCGCAUACGAUCGGAUGUACCCAGCUGGGCUUAGCUAGUAGGUGGGGAAAAGGCUCACCUAGGCGACGCUCCCUAGCUGGUCUGAGAGGAUGAUCAGCAACACUGGUACUGAGACACGGCCCAGACUCCUACGGGAGGCAGCAGUGGGGAAUAUUGCACAAUGGGCGCAAUCCUGAUGCAGCCAUGCCGCGUGUAUGAAGAAGGCCUUCGGGUUGUAAAGUACUUUCGGUGGGGAGGCGUUACCUACAGAAGAAGCACCGGCUAACUCCGGGCCAGCAGCCGCGGUAAUAC
rnacentral:rRNA from 1 species